AGCUCUGUAUAGCCGAUGGUGAGCACCUCGUUCGGGACGAGGGGGCCGCAGGUUCAAAUCCUGUCAUCC
rnacentral:tRNA from 1 species